rnacentral:rRNA from 1 species
UGGCGAACGGGUGAGUAAUAUAUCGGAACGUACCCUGGAGUGGGGGAUAACGUAGCGAAAGUUACGCUAAUACCGCAUACGAUCUAAGGAUGAAAGUGGGGGAUGCGCAAGCACCUCAUGCUCCUGGAGCGGCCGAUAUCUGAUUAGCUAGUUGGUGGGGUAAAGGCCUACCAAGGCAUCGAUCAGUAGCUGGUCUGAGAGGACGACCAGCCACACUGGAACUGAGACACGGUCCAGACUCCUACGGGAGGCAGCAGUGGGGAAUUUUGGACAAUGGGCGAAAGCCUGAUCCAGCAAUGCCGCGUGAGUGAAGAAGGCCUUCGGGUUGUAAAGCUCUUUUGUCAGGGAAGAAACGGUGAAGGCUAAUAUCCUUUGCUAAUGACGGUACCUGAAGAAUAAGCACCGGCUAACUACGUGCCAGCAGCCGCGGUAAUACGUAGGGUGCAAGCGUUAAUCGGAAUUACUGGGCGUAAAGCGUGCGCAGGCGGUUUUGUAAGUCUGUCGUGAAAUCCCCGGGCUCAACCUGGGAAUUGC